CAGAUGAAGGAGUUAAAUGCUAUCAGUGCAAGCAAAUGAAGAGGACGUGAUGCAGUGAAAGAAGAGUUCAAAAGUAUGAAAGGAAUUAGUUGUGGGGAACAGGAAUAAGAGGGGAGUGAGAGACGUUACUUUAACAUCCUUUCUUCAACAAUAACAUGGGACAUUAAGGAAAGCUGAUUAAAGAAAAGCUCCCUCUACUGGAAUCUGAGAGGUGAUACCCUGAACACUGAACACUAAGCCAGCCAUCAGUAUGAACAAAACUGUAACAAGUUUCAGCACGGAGUUCCUAAGUGGACUGAGUGACGUUCCUGCUGCGGCUGAGGAAUAUGAUGAGGAAUGAUGCAGAAAACAACACUUGAGAGUUGUUCAGUGUUCAUGGGGAAGAAGGAAUGACUCCUCUACAGAUGACGUUCACUUAUAAACAGAUUGUUAAAGGUCCAAAAGACCACGCAUUUGGAAUGUGAUGAGACAAACAACACGGACUGAUCUGUUUACUGCGGGGUGUGACUUUCCAGGAUUUCCUGUCGGAAUAUGU